rnacentral:rRNA from 1 species
UACGUAGGUGGCAAGCGUUGUCCGGACUUACUGGGCGUAAAGGAUGCGUAGGUGGAUAUUUAAGUGGGAUGUGAAAUACCCGGGCUCAACUUGGGUGCUGCAUUCCAAACUGGAUAUCUAGAGUGCAGGAGAGGUAAGUGGAAUUCCUAGUGUAGCGGUGAAAUGCGUAGAGAUUAGGAAGGACACCAGUGGCGAAGGCGACUUACUGGACUGUAACUGACACUGAGGCAUGAAAGCGUGGGGAGCAAACAGG